GUUUCAGGCUAGCAUGGCCCUAAGCAAAGGAGGUCGGGCGGUUUCAGGCUAGCAUGGCCCUAAGCAAAGGAGGUCGGGCGGUUUCAGGCUAGCAUGGCCCUAAGCAAAGGAGGUCGGGCGGUUUCAGGCUAGCAUGGCCCUAAGCAAAGGAGGUCGGGCGGUUUCAGGCUAGCAUGGCCCUAAGCAAAGGAGGUCGGGCGGUUUCAGGCUAGCAUGGCCCUAAGCAAAGGAGGUCGGGCGGUUUCAGGCUAGCAUGGCCCUAAGCAAAGGAGGUCGGGCGGUUUCAGGCUAGCAUGGCCCUAAGCAAAGGAGGUCGGGCGGUUUCAGGCUAGCAUGGCCCUAAGCAAAGGAGGUCGGGCGGUUUCAGGCUAGCAUGGCCCUAAGCAAAGGAGGUCGGGCGGUUUCAGGCUAGCAUGGCCCUAAGCAAAGGAGGUCGGGCGGUUUCAGGCUAGCAUGGCCCUAAGCAAAGGAGGUCGGGCGGUUUCAGGCUAGCAUGCAAAGGAGUAACUCUUUCUACACGAUAAAAAGUUGAUGAGCCUCUGGAAUGGACCUCUUCCUGUUCCUCUCUGUUUAACCUUUAUGUAACUUGGCAAGUCAGUUAAGAACAAGUUCUUAUUUACAAUGACGGCCUACCAAAAGGUUAAAAGACCUCAUGCGGGGACGGGGGCUGGGAUAAAUAUAA